GGCCCCGUAGCUCAGCUGGAUAGAGCAGCAGAUUUCUAAUCUGAAGGUCGGAGGUUCAAGUCCUCCCGGGGUCACCA
rnacentral:tRNA from 2 species